UUGUCCUACGGGAGGCAGCAGUGGGGAAUAUUGCACAAUGGGGGGAACCCUGAUGCAGCGACGCCGCGUGGGUGAGGGAGUACUUCGGUACGUAAAGCCCUAUCAGCAGGAAAGAAAAUGACGGUACCUGACUAAGAAGCCCCGGCUAACUACGUGCCAGCAGCCGCGGUAAUACGUAGGGGGCAAGCGUUAUCCGGAUUUACUGGGUGUAAAGGGAGCGUAGACGGCAGUGCAAGUCCGGAGUGAAAGCCCGGGGCUCAACCCUGGGACUGCCCUUGGAACUGCAUGGCUGGAGUGCGGGAGGG
rnacentral:rRNA from 1 species